AACGAACGCUGGCGGCAUGCCUAACACAUGCAAGUCGAACGACACCUUCGGGUCUAGUGGCGCACGGGUGCGUAACGCGUGGGAACCUGCCCUUAGGCUCGGAAUAACUCAGAGAAAUUUGAGCUAAUACCGGAUAAUGUCUUCGGACCAAAGAUUUAUCGCCUUUGGAUGGGCCCGCGUAGGAUUAGCUUGUUGGUGGGGUAAUGGCCUACCAAGGCGACGAUCCUUAGCUGGUCUGAGAGGAUGGUCAGCCACACUGGGACUGAGACACGGCCCAGACUCCUACGGGAGGCAGCAGUGGGGAAUAUUGGACAAUGGGCGAAAGGCUGAUCCAGCAAGGCCGCGUGAGUGAUGAAGGCCUUAGGGUUGUAAAGCUCGUUUACCAGGGAUGAUAAUGACAGUACCUGAAGAAUAAGCUCCGGCUAACUCCGUG
rnacentral:rRNA from 1 species